rfam:Clostridiales bacterium 42_27 Ley3_66761_scaffold_29057, whole genome shotgun sequence.
ACCGGUGGCGAUGCGCUUAGGGGCAACACCCGUCCACAUCCCGAACACGAUGGUUAAGACUUAAGCGGCCGAGGAUACUAUGCUGGAGACGGCAUGGGAAAGCAGGUGGCUGCCGGUA